AUUCUGGCUCAGGACGAACGCUGGCGGCGUGCCUAAUACAUGCAAGUCGAACGGUCUUUUCUAUGGAAGCUUGCUUCCACUGAAAAGAUAGUGGCGAACGGGUGAGUAACACGUGGGUAACCUGCCCAUAAGAGGGGGGAUAACAUCCGGAAACGGGUGCUAAUACCGCAUAGUUUUCUUGAUCGCAUGAUCGGGAAAGGAAAGACGGCCUUUGUGCUGUCGCUUAUGGAUGGACCCGCGGCGUAUUAGUUAGUUGGUGAGGUAACGGCUCACCAAGACGAUGAUACGUAGCCGACCUGAGAGGGUGAUCGGCCACAUUGGGACUGAGACACGGCCCAAACUCCUACGGGAGGCAGCAGUAGGGAAUCUUCCGCAAUGGACGAAAGUCUGACGGAGCAACGCCGCGUGAGUGAAGAAAGGUUUUCGGAUCGUAAAACUCUGUUGUCAGAGAAGAACAAGUUGGAGAGUAACUGCUCCAGCCUUGACGGUAUCUGACCAGAAAGCCACGGCUAACUACGUGCCAGCCGCUGC
rnacentral:rRNA from 1 species